AUGAAGCCACAUAAAAGGUUUCUCCCUCACUGUCCCUCAUCUUCUAAUACUAAAGAAGCAACUAAAGAAGAUUUUGCAAAUUAUUAUAAUUUUUAUGUAAUAGGAAUAGCCCAUUGUGCCAAGAUCCCAAGCAAACCCACCACCUAGUGACAUGCAGGGCACUUGUCUACACCUUCAGAGCUUGCCAGAGCUACAGAUGCCAUCUUUCUGAACUGCCUUUGAAGUUCUCCUGUUUUUGCACUUCAAAGAGGUACCAAGACAAUAGUAGGGAUGCAGGGAAUGGGUCCCAUUCCCCAAUUCAAAAAAUGUCAGACAUAUUUUAUGAGUCUAAAUGACUUUGUGUCUCAUUGUCAAAAUCUUUCUUCACCAAGAGAUUAAAACUAGCUGGAACACAGUAGACUGUAUUAAUUACAUAGUCUAUUAAUUAAAGACUUUGUACAUAAAACAAUUAACCACGAAGUAUCUAUGCCAGCUGAUUAGACUUUUAUUAUUGACGUGGCAAAAAGAGAUAGCAGGAUCUUUAACAAAAUUAUUUCAGAUAUACUAUUACCUCCCCUUUUUGUAGCAUUCUCAAACAACUCUUUACCAUCACCAAAUGCCCCUGCUGUUCUCUCAAUUCCACUAGCAAGAGGUGCAAGCUUCUGGG
rnacentral:lncRNA from 1 species